rnacentral:tRNA from 1 species
GUUGUCGUGGCCGAGUGGUUAAGGCGAUGGACUAGAAAUCUAAUGGGGUUAACCCGCGCAGGUUCAGAUCCUGCCGAUAACG